UUUUUUUUUGGACUGGGGCAAUGGUGGCUGAGAAGAGAGGGGGUGGGGAGAAAGCAAUUACGUGGAGUGGAAAGAAAUGCAAAGAGGAAGUUUCAGAACAUUGAGGGAGUGGGGUGAGCAACGAGGAAGAACAAAAUACAGAAUGUGAAAGUCUCCUCUGGAGGUGCUGGAAGGAAACAGGAGAAGCGAAGCAACAGACUUUUUGCAAAACCAGGAAGCCAGCGCAAAGAUGACUCCGAUUGAACGAAAUGCAACCGAGCAGCAACACAUGGGUAGACUUAUUGAAAGCCCUUUAAAGGCACGCAGCGGUGGAAGGUACAAAUGCUUUAAUCGACAUAAAGGCACAAGAUCAGAAGAAGGAAAAGAAAAACGGGAGAUCUGAAGAAGUUGGGAUAACUAUCCGUGCACGAAAGGGUGGAAAGAAAUGCAAUUCAAGACGCCUGGCGCGAAGGGGAAGUUUGCAAGGCCAUGUGCUUGCAGUAAACAAAUAAUAGCGUGUUCUUUGCAUCCGCGUGGAUUUAAUUCUCCAGUGCAGACGUUUCAAGAGAAGUGAAUGGCAAAUCAAGCCAGCGCACAGAGGAGUCCUGUUGAAGCCUAGAGGACUAGUGGAUUGGAUAAUUAAUGCAAAAUGACUGAUCGCUCUUGAAGAAGGCAAGUCCUGCAAAGAGGAUUGUGCGUGAUCAAUGAAGCAUCACUGACUGACAGUUUCCUUCGAUCUUACACCCAGAUCCAACUACCGGAACGAGGACUUGUCACCAGAGGCCGGAGGCUAUUCUCUACAUGCUUGCAGCGCAACGCAACAAAAAAAACACACACAAAAAAAAGGGAAGAGAAACGGGACGCUUCUUGAUCAGUUUUCUAAAACAAAACGCAGAAGGGAACGAUAGGUAAAAAGACAAUAAUAUACAAUUGCUUCUAAGAGAAUGACAAUGACUGCUUGGAAAUGUCCUAUCUGUAUAUUUCAUUAACUUUUCAAUGCAAGGAUUUGCACAGGCACCAGUUGUGAAUUGGUAUAGUGCAGACAAAUACCCAUUAAAUGUGUUAAAACCCACA